rnacentral:rRNA from 1 species
GAACGCUGGCGGUAGGCCUAACACAUGCAAGUCGUACGGCAGCACAGUAAUAGCUUGCUCUUACUGUUGGCUCGUGGCGGUCGGGUUUGGAAUACAUCGGAAUCUACUUUUUCGUGGGGGAUAACGUAGGGAAACUUACGCUAAUACCGCAUACUACCUACGGGUGAAAGCAGGGGAUCUUCUGACCUUGCUCGAUUUAAUGAGCCGAUGUCGGAUUAGCUAGUUGGCGGGGUAAAGGCCCACCAAGGCGACGAUCCGUAGCUGGUCGGAGAGGAUGAUCAGCCACACUGGAACUGAGACACGGUACAGAGUCCUACGGGAGGCAGCAGUGGGGAAUAUUGGACAAUGGGCGCAAGCAUGAUCCAGCAAGACCGCGUGGGUGAAGAAGGCCUUCGGGUUGUAAAGCCCUUUUGUUGGGAAAGAAAAGCAGCAGGUUAAUACACCGCUGUUCUGACGGUACCCAAAGAAUAAGCACCGGCUAACUUCGUG